rnacentral:rRNA from 1 species
CACGUAGGGUGCGAGCGUUAUCCGGAUUUACUGGGCGUAAAGCGCCCGUAGGCGGCCUGACAAGUUGGACGUGAAAGCUCCUGGCUUAACUGGGAGAGGCCGUUCAAAACUGUCAAGCUAGAGUCUGGAAGAGGAGAGCGGAAUUCCCGGUCUAGUGGUGGAAUGCGUAGAGAUCGGGAGGAACACCAGUGGCGAAAGCGGCUCUCUGGUCCAAAACUGACGCUGAGGGGCGAAAGCGUGGGGAGCGAACGGG